AAAAAGACUUUCACUAAACAAGACAAGACACACCACGAUGAGUACUCAAAGCAGGUCUGUGAAACGUCUAGAGGAGGAACUGAAUUCAGUCAUACAGAGUUUGGCUGAGAUGGGAAAAAAACUUCAUCAGGCAAAUAUGGUGAUGAACCAUCAAAAGGAGGAACUGAAUUCAGUCAUAGAGAGGUCUGUGAAACGUCUAGAGGAGGAACUGAAUCCAUUCAUACAGAGUUUGGGUGAAAUGGAAGAAGUUUACAAAGUGAACCUCAAACAACCAGGUUUGGCUGAAAUGGAAAAGUUUUACAAACAGAAACUCCAAGAAGAAAGAUCUGCACAUGAAAAAACUAAAGAAGAGUAUAAAUCAUUCAAAGACAGAAUGGCAGGGGAGGUUGAUCUUACACUAAAGACGGGGAACUCUGAAAACAUGAACAACCCAGUGAAUGAAACCAGACUGAAAGAGAUGUAUAAAGAGCUGAGGAAGGACUGGGCUAGAAUCAAGCCUGAAAUGAAGCAGGCCGCUCAGAGCGACGCAGAGCAAAUCAAAGUUGGCAUUCAGCGCAACUUUCAAUAUGGGGCAAAGCGAAUAGAGCAGAAGAAGAAAGAGAUAGAGUCAGUAUUUAACCUUAAUGCGGACAGCACUGAAGCAUCUCAGAAGGUUCAUGAAUACACAAAGUUAACCAUUCAGAACCUUCAGCUUGCUGUUUACUACAGUUUCAAAGGCACUGCUGCUCAGGGGUUCCACGGACAGGAAGGUGAAACUCAUAGCUUCAAUAAGCUUACCCAGAAGUGCAGCUGGCUGAGCAGCUUAUUGGUGCUGAACAAUCCCCCUCUUCAGCCUGACUGGAAAAAUCAUGAUCCAGGGCAAGAUGCUUGGAACGUUUUCCCACAAGAGAUCACAGCUGAAUCUGCCACAUCACUCUGCCAGGACCCCUCUGAAAAUGUUGUUGGAUAUAGUUGGACAUCCCAGCAUCCAGACGUGAACCAGAGUGAAGAUAAUAUGAUGACGUGAGUUCCAACCAAGCAUGUCUUUUAUCAUGUCUUCAUUCUCUUACCACAACCGGUCGCUGAAGAUGGCCCCGCCCCUCCCUGAGUCUGGUUCUGCCGGAGGUUUCUUUUUUCCCUUCCCACUUCUCCCAAAGUGCUUGCUAUAUGGGACGUAUGAUUGUUGGGUUUUUCUUUGUAUGUAUUAUUGUAGGGUCUACCUUACAAUAUAAGGCAAAUGCUGUUGUGAUUUGAUGCAGUAUAAAUAAAACUGAAUUGAACAUGAACUCCUGUCCCCCUCUGUUGACACGGCCCCAUGAGCUCCCUGCAUCACCUCGCCACUGCAGCAGGCCAGAAGCCACAAGUUCAAAAAAAAAAUUCCCUUAACUGACAGUAGCACUACCUUUGUCAAAGUGGAGGGUGUAGUUUGGUAACACAAUCUGUCCUCAGGUUGGGUAUUGUUAUAUUUGAAAUUAUCUUUUGCUCAUUAUUUCCUCAACUUUUAAACAGCAAGGAUUAACUGAAGAGAAAACUGCUGUAUAUGAAUAAAGUUGAAUAGAAAACAAGUGUUUAUUCAGCUUUUGCCGUUAAAGGAACUUAAGUCAAAUAAACAUUAUGACUACAACUAGUCAGGGACUCAAAAUGGAGAGCAGAGGAGAGUCCGGUCAUGAUAAGUUAGGCAAAUCAGUCCCACAUAUCUUAGUAAAAUACAAAUGAUUUGAAUUU
ensembl:lncRNA